rnacentral:rRNA from 1 species
AACGAACGCUGGCGGCAUGCCUAACACAUGCAAGUCGAACGAGACCUUCGGGUCUAGUGGCGCACGGGUGCGUAACGCGUGGGAACCUGCCCUUAGGUUCGGAAUAACUCCCCGAAAGGGGUGCUAAUACCGGAUAAUUUCUUCGGACCAAAGAUUUAUCGCCUUUGGAUGGGCCCGCGUUGGAUUAGCUAGUUGGUAGGGUAAAAGCCUACCAAGGCGACGAUCCAUAGCUGGUCUGAGAGGAUGAUCAGCCACACUGGGACUGAGACACGGCCCAGACUCCUACGGGAGGCAGCAGUGGGGAAUAUUGGACAAUGGGCGAAAGCCUGAUCCUGCAAUGCCGCGUGAGUGAUGAAGGCCUUAGGGUUGUAAAGCUCUUUUACCCGGGAUGAUAAUGACAGUACCGGGAGAAUAAGCUCCGGCUAACUCCGUG